UACGUAGGGUGCAAGCGUUGUCCGGAAUUAUUGGGCGUAAAGGGCGCGUAGGUGGUCUGAUAAGGGUGUGGUGAAAGCCCGGGGCUCAACCCCGGGUCGGCCGUGCCGACUGUUGGACUAGAGUGCUGUAGGGGCAGGCGGAAUUCCGGGUGUAGCGGUGGAAUGCGUAGAGAUCAGGAAGAACAUCGGUGGCGAAGGCGCUCUGCUGGACCAUAACUGACACUCAGGGACGAAAGCUAGGGGAGCGAAUGGG
rnacentral:rRNA from 1 species